rnacentral:rRNA from 3 species
UUAAGUUAGAAAGGGCGCACGGUGGAUGCCUUGGCACUAGGAGCCGAUGAAGGACGGGACGAACACCGAUAUGCUUCGGGGAGCUGUAAGCAAGCUUUGAUCCGGAGAUUUCCGAAUGGGGAAACCCACCACUCGUAAUGGAGUGGUAUCCAUAUCUGAAUACAUAGGAUAUGAGAAGGCAGACCCGGGGAACUGAAACAUCUAAGUACCCGGAGGAAGAGAAAGCAAAUGCGAUUCCCUGAGUAGCGGCGAGCGAAACGGGACCAGCCCAAACCAAGAGGCUUGCCUCUUGGGGUUGUAGGACACUCUGUACGGAGUUACAAAGGAACGAGGUAGAUGAAGAGGUCUGGAAAGGCCCGCCAUAGGAGGUAACAGCCCUGUAGUCAAAACUUCGUUCUCUCCUGAGUGGAUCCUGAGUACGGCGGAACACGUGAAAUUCCGUCGGAAUCCGGGAGGACCAUCUCCCAAGGCUAAAUACUCCCUAGUGACCGAUAGUGAACCAGUACCGUGAGGGAAAGGUGAAAAGCACCCCGGAAGGGGAGUGAAAGAGAUCCUGAAACCGUGUGCCUACAAGUAGUCAGAGCCCGUUAACGGGUGAUGGCGUGCCUUUUGUAGAAUGAACCGGCGAGUUACGAUCCCGUGCAAGGUUAAGCAGAAGAUGCGGAGCCGCAGCGAAAGCGAGUCUGAAUAGGGCGAAUUGAGUACGUGGUCGUAGACCCGAAACCAGGUGAUCUACCCAUGUCCAGGGUGAAGUUCAGGUAACACUGAAUGGAGGCCCGAACCCACGCACGUUGAAAAGUGCGGGGAUGAGGUGUGGGUAGGGGUGAAAUGCCAAUCGAACCUGGAGAUAGCUGGUUCUCUCCGAAAUAGCUUUAGGGCUAGCCUCAAGGUAAGAGUCUCGGAGGUAGAGCACUGAUUGGACUAGGGGCCCCUACCGGGUUACCGAAUUCAGUCAAACUCCGAAUGCCGAUGACUUAUCCUUGGGAGUCAGACUGCGAGUGAUAAGAUCCGUAGUCAAAAGGGAAACAGCCCAGACCGCCAGCUAAGGUCCCAAAGUAUACGUUAAGUGGAAAAGGAUGUGGAGUUGCUUAGACAACCAGGAUGUUGGCUUAGAAGCAGCCACCAUUUAAAGAGUGCGUAAUAGCUCACUGGUCGAGUGACUCUGCGCCGAAAAUGUACCGGGGCUAAACGUAUCACCGAAGCUGCGGACUGUUCUUCGAACAGUGGUAGGAGAGCGUUCUAAGGGCUGUGAAGCAAGACCGGAAGGACUUGUGGAGCGCUUAGAAGUGAGAAUGCCGGUAUGAGUAGCGAAAGAGGGGUGAGAAUCCCCUCCACCGAAUGCCUAAGGUUUCCUGAGGAAGGCUCGUCCGCUCAGGGUUAGUCGGGACCUAAGCCGAGGCCGAAAGGCGUAGGCGAUGGAUAACAGGUUGAUAUUCCUGUACCACCUCCUCACCAUUUGAGCAAUGGGGGGACGCAGGAGGAUAGGGUAAGCGCGGUAUUGGAUAUCCGCGUCCAAGCAGUUAGGCUGGGAAAUAGGCAAAUCCGUUUCCCGUGAAGGCUGAGCUGUGAUGGCGAGCGAAUUAUAGUAGCGAAGUUCCUGAUUCCACACUGCCAAGAAAAGCCUCUAGCGAGGUGAGAGGUGCCCGUACCGCAAACCGACACAGGUAGGCGAGGAGAGAAUCCUAAGGUGAUCGAGAGAACUCUCGUUAAGGAACUCGGCAAAAUGACCCCGUAACUUCGGGAGAAGGGGUGCUCUGUUAGGGUGCAAGCCCGAGAGAGCCGCAGUGAAUAGGCCCAGGCGACUGUUUAGCAAAAACACAGGUCUCUGCGAAGCCGUAAGGCGAAGUAUAGGGGCUGACGCCUGCCCGGUGCUGGAAGGUUAAGAGGAGCGCUUAGCGUAAGCGAAGGUGCGAAUUGAAGCCCCAGUAAACGGCGGCCGUAACUAUAACGGUCCUAAGGUAGCGAAAUUCCUUGUCGGGUAAGUUCCGACCCGCACGAAAGGCGCAACGAUCUGGGCACUGUCUCAACGAGAGACUCGGUGAAAUUAUAGUACCUGUGAAGAUGCAGGUUACCCGCGACAGGACGGAAAGACCCCGUGGAGCUUUACUGCAGCCUGAUAUUGAAUGUUGGUACAGCUUGUACAGGAUAGGUAGGAGCCUUGGAAACCGGAGCGCCAGCUUCGGUGGAGGCAUCGGUGGGAUACUACCCUGGCUGUAUUGACCUUCUAACCCGCCGCCCUUAUCGGGCGGGGAGACAGUGUCAGGUGGGCAGUUUGACUGGGGCGGUCGCCUCCUAAAAGGUAACGGAGGCGCCCAAAGGUUCCCUCAGAAUGGUUGGAAAUCAUUCGCAGAGUGUAAAGGCACAAGGGAGCUUGACUGCGAGACCUACAAGUCGAGCAGGGACGAAAGUCGGGCUUAGUGAUCCGGUGGUUCCGCAUGGAAGGGCCAUCGCUCAACGGAUAAAAGCUACCCCGGGGAUAACAGGCUUAUCUCCCCCAAGAGUCCACAUCGACGGGGAGGUUUGGCACCUCGAUGUCGGCUCAUCGCAUCCUGGGGCUGUAGUCGGUCCCAAGGGUUGGGCUGUUCGCCCAUUAAAGCGGUACGCGAGCUGGGUUCAGAACGUCGUGAGACAGUUCGGUCCCUAUCCGUCGCGGGCGCAGGAAAUUUGAGAGGAGCUGUCCUUAGUACGAGAGGACCGGGAUGGACGCACCGCUGGUGUACCAGUUGUUCUGCCAAGGGCAUCGCUGGGUAGCUAUGUGCGGACGGGAUAAGUGCUGAAAGCAUCUAAGCAUGAAGCCCCCCUCAAGAUGAGAUUUCCCAUUCCGCAAGGAAGUAAGAUCCCUGAAAGAUGAUCAGGUUGAUAGGUCUGAGGUGGAAGUGUGGCGACACAUGGAGCUGACAGAUACUAAUCGAUCGAGGACUUAACCAA